GUCAGGAUGGCCGAGCGGUCUAAGGCGCCAGACUCAAGGUUUCCUUGCCUGCACAGCAGGAUUGAUGAGCGUUCUGGUCCUCUCUGAGGGCGUGGGUUCGAAUCCCACUCCUGACA
rnacentral:tRNA from 2 species